rnacentral:rRNA from 1 species
GGGCUUCUUGAUUGCUUAUUGCACCACAUGUGUUUUUCUUUGAAACAAACUUGCUUUGGCGGUGGGCCCAGCCUGCCGCCAGAGGUCUAAACUUACAACCAAUUUUUUAUCAACUUGUCACACCAGAUUAUUACUAAUAGUCAAAACUUUCAACAACGGAUCUCUUGGUUCUCGCAUCGAUGAAGAACGCAGCGAAAUGCGAUACGUAAUAUGAAUUGCAGAUAUUCGUGAAUCAUCGAAUCUUUGAACGCACAUUGCGCCCUCUGGUAUUCCGGAGGGCAUGCCUGUUUGAGCGUCGUUUCUCCCUCAAACCGCUGGGUUUGGUGUUGAGCAAUACGACUUGGGUUUGCUUGAAAGACGGUAGUGGUAAGGCGGGAUCGCUUUGACAAUGGCUUAGGUCUAACCAAAAACAUUGUUUGCGGCGGUAACGUCCACCACGUAUAUCUUCAAACUUUGACCUCAAAUCAGGUAGGACUACCCGCUGAACUUAAGCAUAUCAAAAGGCGGGAGGAA